rnacentral:rRNA from 1 species
CCUACGGGAGGCAGCAGUGGGGAAUAUUGGACAAUGGGGGCAACCCUGAUCCAGCCACGCCGCGUGUGUGAAGAAGGCCUCCGGGUUGUAAAGCACUUUAGGUUGGGGGGAAGGUUCGCUGGCUAAUAUCCAGCGGAAUUGACGUUACCGACAGAAUAAGCACCGGCUAACUCCGUGCCAGCAGCCGCGGUAAUACGGAGGGUGCAAGCGUUAAUCGGAAUUACUGGGCGUAAAGCGCGCGUAGGCGGCUCGGUCAGUCGGGUGUGAAAUCCCUGGGCUCAACCUGGGAACUGCAUUCGAUACUGCCGAGCUAGAGUGUGGGAGAGGGUAGUGGAAUUCCCGGUGUGGCGGUGAAAUGCGUAGAUAUCGGGAGGAACAUCAGUGGCGAAGGCGACUGCCUGGCCCAACACUGACGCUGAGGUGCGAAAGCGUGGGUAGCAAACAGGAUUAGAUACCCUGGUAGUCCACGCCGUAAACGAUGUCGACUAGCCGUUGGAGACCUUAGAGUCUUAGUGGCGAAGCUAACGCGAUAAGUCGACCGCCUGGGGAGUACGGCCGCAAGGUUAAAACUUAAAGGAAUUGACGGCUGAGAGNGCGAGACGACGACGAGGGAGAG